AAUAUGAACUUGAUCACGUACAUAGAUAGCCAAGACAUUAAGGAGUUUGUACGAUUUUACGUAAUUAGAUUCGAACGAGUAAAACUUUUGAAAUUUAUCUUGGCGUAAAAGAAUAGUUUUAAAAUGUCUUGGUUUGAAAGUGUGUUGUAAAACAGGAGUUUGGAACUUAAAUUCUGAGCUUCUAUCUCCGUGUAAGUCACUAAGGCGGGAUUAACCCCGUCAGGGCGAGGCUGUUGUGGCAGGCCAGUCGCGACUUACGUCGGAAAAAAACUUAAAUUCAUUAUUUUCUGCAAACCUUCGUCCUUGAGAGCUAAGAGACGACCCAGAACAGUUGUUGACUAGAAUCUCCUGUUUUCUAGCGCUAAAGACCAAGAACAGGCGGAAAUAAUUCCAAAAAGAAAGACUCAAGUGUCACGGGAGGGUUCAAGCUUGGUUUCGAGGAUGGGAUGGAGACGGAGACGUAUCUUAUAUAUAUUACUCAAAUAAACAUUAUUUGUGACUUGAUUUGCUUUAAAUAAUUAGUAGGUUAACUCUGUAUUACUCUAAUUUUAUCAGGAAAAAGACCUUGUUAUAUCAGAAAACAUUUUUGAGAAUACUAUGAUAUGCUAUAAAAAAUUAAAGAAAAUUUGAUGAAAAUACUGUUAUCAUAUAGUCAAUUAAAAUUUGAAAGUAAAGGUCAUAUUCAAAAGUGGUCCCUAAAUCACCAAACCAUUGUACAAAAUCAAGGGAAAAAAGGCUUUCUAAUGUAAAAGAAAUACAAAAAAGAAAAAACCUUUGUACGAUUUUUUUUUAUAUGAAUAUGAAGAAGCAAAAGAUGCUAAAAGUAAGUGGAUACCCAAACAGUCCGUUACUUUCGAGACAGAUGUCAGUAGUACGAUUAAACUAAAAAAAAACCUCUAAUUCAUCUAGCCAAUUAUUUCACAGCUACCACCGAGGUUGUUUUGGGACGGAUAAAAUCUCUUUACCCGUGACAAAAAUCUCGAUUCAAGUUCAAAAAGUUAUAAACUUCAUAUCGAGAACUAUUUUUCUUUCAAUGAACUUUACACGUGAAUUGAAUUAAACCAAUGAAUAUCGAACACCAAAAAGUUACAUCCAUACGUAACAAUAAUUAUGUUGAUAGCCUAAAGUAGACGAGUAGUUGGCUAGUUAAUUACUUUUAAAGUUAAAUGUAAUUUCUUUCUAGUUGUUCGAUAAAUUUAGAAAUUAAAGAAAAUUUAUAAUAUGAAAGUUU